rnacentral:tRNA from 1 species
GGAGCGGUGGCAGAGUCCGGCUGAUUGCAGCUGCCUUGAAAGCAGCCGACCCUCACGGGUCCGGGGGUUCGAAUCCCUCCCGCUCCG